UCAAGAAACUUCCACAAUGGGCGAAAGCCUGAUGGAGCGACGUCGCGUGAUGGACGAAGUGCUUCGGCACGUAAACAUCUUUUAUGUGGGAUGAAAUUAUUGACAGUACCACAUGAAUAAGGGGCUCCUAACUCUGUGCCAGCAGGAGCGGUAAUACAGAGGCCCCAAGCGUUAUCCGGAAUCACUGGGCGUAAAGGGUGUCGAGGCGGUUGUAUUAGUCGUUCGUAAAAUCUACGAGCUUAACUUGUAGGCGGCGAACGAAACGGUACGACUUGAGGUUUGGAGAGGUGCGUGGAACUCACGGUGUAGGGGUGAAAUCCGUUGAUAUCGUGGGGAACACCAAAGGCGAAGGCGACCACCUGGACUGAUACUGACACUGAGGUGCGAAAGCGUGGGGAGCAAACAGGAUUAGAUACCCCUGUAGUCCCUGAGCGGGCUGGCAAGGCGCAU
rnacentral:rRNA from 1 species